rnacentral:rRNA from 1 species
GACGAACGCUGGCGGCGUGCCUAAUACAUGCAAGUCGAGCGCAGGAAGCCGUCUGAACCCUUCGGGGGGACGACGGUGGAAUGAGCGGCGGACGGGUGAGUAACACGUAAAGAACCUGCCCAUAGGUCUGGGAUAACCACGAGAAAUCGGGGCUAAUACCGGAUGUGUCAUCGGACCGCAUGGUCCGAUGAUGAAAGGCGCUCCGGCGUCUCCCAUGGAUGGCUUUGCGGUGCAUUAGCUAGUUGGUGAGGUAACGGCCCACCAAGGCGACGAUGCAUAGCCGACCUGAGAGGGUGAUCGGCCACACUGGGACUGAGACACGGCCCAGACUCCUACGGGAGGCAGCAGUAGGGAAUCUUCCACAAUGGACGAAAGUCUGAUGGAGCAACGCCGCGUGAACGAUGAAGGCUUUCGGGUCGUAAAGUUCUGUUGUAAGGGAAGAACAAGUGCCGCAGGCAAUGGCGGCACCUUGACGGUACCUUGCGAGAAAGCCACGGCUAACUACGUACCAGCAGCCGCCGCCG